rnacentral:rRNA from 1 species
AACGAACGCUGGCGGCGCGUCUUAACCAUGCAAGUCGAGCGGCAGGCAGCAAUGCCGCGAGCGGCGGACUGGUGAGUAACACGUGGAUAACGUACCCCGAUGUCCGGGACAGCCUGUAGAAAUAGAGGGUAAUACCGGAUAGAUCACUGUUUACGUGAGGUAGACAGCGGGAAAGGAGCUUCGGCUCCGCGACGGGAUCGGUCUGCGGCCCAUCAGCUGGACGGCGGGGUAAAGGCCCGCCGUGGCGAGGACGGGUAUCCGGCCUGAGAGGGCGGACGGACACAUUGGGACUGAGACACGGCCCAGACUCCUACGGGAGGCAGCAGGUAAGAAUAUUCCGCAAUGGGGGGAACCCUGACGGAGCGACGCCGCGUGAACGAAGAAGGCCGGAAGGUUGUAAAGUUCUUUUCUGUCCGAGGAAUAAGUUUCGGAGGAAAUGCCGGGACGGUGACGGUAGGGCAGGAAUAAGCACCGGCUAAUUACGUG